rnacentral:rRNA from 1 species
GUGGGGAAUCUUCCGCAAUGGACGAAAGUCUGACGGAGCGACGCCGCGUGAGUGAAGAAGGCCUUCGGGUCGUAAAGCUCUGUCAUCAGGGACGAACGGCCGGUGGAGUGGAAAGCCACCGGAUUGACGGUACCUGAGAAGGAAGCCACGGCUAACUACGUGCCAGCAGCCGCGGUAAUACGUAGGUGGCAAGCGUUGUCCGGAAUUAUUGGGCGUAAAGCGCGCGCAGGUGGGAUCUUAAGUCCAUUUUUAAAGUUCGGAGCUCAACUCCGUGAUGGGAUGGAAACUGGGAUUCUUGAGUACCGGAGAGGAAAGCGGAAUUCCCCGUGUAGCGGUGAAAUGCGUAGAUAUGGGGAGGAACACCAGUGGCGAAGGCGGCUUUCUGGACGGUGUCUGACACUGAGGCGCGAAAGCCAGGGGAGCGAACGGGAUUAGAUACCCCUGUAGUCC